rnacentral:rRNA from 1 species
GAUGAACGCUGACAGAAUGCUUAACACAUGCAAGUCAACUUGAACUUCGGUUUGGGUGGCGGACGGGUGAGUAACGCGUAAAGAACUUGCCUCACAGCUAGGGACAACAUUUGGAAACGAAUGCUAAUACCUGAUAUUAUGAUUUUAGGGCAUCCUAGAAUUAUGAAAGCUAUAUGCGCUGUGAGAGAGCUUUGCGUCCCAUUAGCUAGUUGGAGAGGUAACGGCUCACCAAGGCGAUGAUGGGUAGCCGGCCUGAGAGGGUGAACGGCCACAAGGGGACUGAGACACGGCCCUUACUCCUACGGGAGGCAGCAGUGGGGAAUAUUAGACAAUGGACCAAGAGUCUGAUCCAGCAAUUCUGUGUGCACGAUGAAGUUUUUCGGAAUGUAAAGUGCUUUCAGUUGGGAAGAAAAAAAUGACGGUACCAACAGAAGAAGUGACGGCUAAAUACGUG